GGUUGUUGUACAUCUGCGUGAAGCGCUCGGCCAUGGCCAAGGCCUCCUCCAGCUCCUCCUUCAGAGGGCCCUCCAGGGGUCUCUUCCCGGAGCAGUCUGAAAAGGACGACAGAUAAGCAGCAUCGUCACGGAGCUCGGAUGAGGACGCACAGAGAGCAGACACAAAGUGUUGCAGCUGCAGAAUAUUAUCUGAAAUCUAAAGAUAGAUUUCAGGCUGUGGUUGUUUAUAGAAACAGGCUGAAGCUGAAGUGAUCCUCUGAAUGUGAAAUCAAUGUGAUGCGUUUCCCGUUCAUGCCAGAGGAACAAAAAACAUCAACACAAAGGGAGAGGUAAUUAAAUAACACACUCUCUGCCUCUGCUGGCCUUCAUUUGAGCCUCUUCCUGUUUCCAACAUUCAUAUGAAUCAUAAUUGUGUUGCUCUAAUUAAAACAUUUCUGGAUCGUCACCGUCCAGCUCCUGCUGGUUUCCAGCUGAGUGACAGGACACAGCCAGACCUCACUCGA